rnacentral:rRNA from 1 species
UACGGAGGGGGCUAGCGUUGUUCGGAAUUACUGGGCGUAAAGCGCACGUAGGCGGCUUUGUAAGUUAGAGGUGAAAGCCCGGGGCUCAACUCCGGAAUUGCCUUUAAGACUGCAUCGCUAGAAUUGUGGAGAGGUAAGUGGAAUUCCGAGUGUAGAGGUGAAAUUCGUAGAUAUUCGGAAGAACACCAGUGGCGAAGGCGACUUACUGGACACAUAUUGACGCUGAGGUGCGAAAGCGUGGGGAGCAAACAUG